GAUGAAGAACGUAGCGAAAUGCGAUAAGUAAUGUGAAUUGCAGAAUUCAGUGAAUCAUCGAAUCUUUGAACGCACAUUGCGCCCGCCAGCCAUUCUGGCGGGCAUGCCUGUCCGAGCGUCAUUUCAACCAUCAAGCCCCGUGCUUGUGUUGGGGAGCUGCGGGCCCUCCGGGCGCGCAGGCCCUGAAAUGCAGUGGCGGGCUCGCUGACACACCGAGCGUAGUAGCAUAAUUCUCGCUCUGGGCGUGCUGCGGGUACCGGCCGUGAAACGACCACUCGAGAGAGAGGACACCCAAAGGUUGACCUCGGAUCAGGUAGGAAUACCCGCUGAACUUAAGCAUAUCAAUAAGCGGAGGA
rnacentral:misc_RNA from 1 species